AGGACGAACGCUGGCGGCGUGCCUAACACAUGCAAGUCGAACGGGACCAGGGGCAACUCUGGUUCAGUGGCGGACGGGUGCGUAACACGUGAGGAACAUGACCUUCGGCGGGGGAUAGCCGGCCCAACGGCCGGGUAAUACCGCGUACGACCACUUUGGGACAUCCCUGGGUGGUGAAAGCAGCAAUGCGCCGAUGGAGUGCCUCGCGGCCUAUCAGCUAGUUGGUGAGGUAACGCUCACCAAGGCGACGACGGGUAGCUGGUCUGAGAGGAUGGCCAGCCACAUUGGGACUGAGACACGGCCAGACUCCGUACGGGAGGCAG
rnacentral:rRNA from 1 species